rnacentral:rRNA from 1 species
GAAGCAGCUUGCUGCUUUGCUGACGAGUGGCGGACGGGUGAGUAAUGUCUGGGAAACUGCCUGAUGGAGGGGGAUAACUACUGGAAACGGUGGCUAAUACCGCAUAACGUCGCAAGACCAAAGAGGGGGACCUUCGGGCCUCUUGCCAUCAGAUGUGCCCAGAUGGGAUUAGCUUGUUGGUGAGGUAACGGCUCACCAAGGCGACGAUCCCUAGCUGGUCUGAGAGGAUGACCAGCCACACUGGAACUGAGACACGGUCCAGACUCCUACGGGAGGCAGCAGUGGGGAAUAUUGCACAAUGGGCGCAAGCCUGAUGCAGCCAUGCCGCGUGUAUGAAGAAGGCCUUCGGGUUGUAAAGUACUUUCAGCGGGGAGGAAGGUGUUGUGGUUAAUAACCGCAGCAAUUGACGUUACCCGCAGAAGAAGCACCGGCUAACUCCGUGCCAGCAGCCGCGGUAAUACGGAGGGUGCAAGCGUUAAUCGGAAUUACUGGGCGUAAAGCGCACGCAGGCGGUCUGUCAAGUCGGAUGUGAAAUCCCCGGGCUCAACCUGGGAACUGCAUUCGAAACUGGCAGGCUUGAGUCUUGUAGAGGGGGGUAGAAUUCCAGGUGUAGCGGUGAAAUGCGUAGAGAUCUGGAGGAAUACCGGUGGCGAAGGCGGCCCCCUGGACAAAGACUGACGCUCAGGUGCGAAAGCGUGGGGAGCAAACAGGAUUAGAUACCCUGGUAGUCCACGCCGUAAACGAUGUCUACUUGGAGGUUGUGCCCUUGAGGCGUGGCUUCCGGAGCUAACGCGUUAAGUAGACCGCCUGGGGAGUACGGCCGCAAGGUUAAAACUCAAAUGAAUUGACGGGGGCCCGCACAAGCGGUGGAGCAUGUGGUUUAAUUCGAUGCAACGCGAAGAACCUUACCUGGUCUUGACAUCCACAGAACUUUCCAGAGAUGGAUUGGUGCCUUCGGGAACUGUGAGACAGGUGCUGCAUGGCUGUCGUCAGCUCGUGUUGUGAAAUGUUGGGUUAAGUCCCGCAACGAGCGCAACCCUUAUCCUUUGUUGCCAGCGGUCCGGCCGGGAACUCAAAGGAGAC